AGCAGUCGCCGCGGUAACACGAAGGGGGCUAGCGUUGCUCGGAAUUACUGGGCGUAAAGGGAGCGUAGGCGGACAUUUAAGUCAGGGGUGAAAUCCCAGAGCUCAACUCUGGAACUGCCUUUGAUACUGGGUGUCUUGAGUGUGAUAGAGGUAUGUGGAACUCCGAGUGUAGAGGUGAAAUUCGUAGAUAUUCGGAAGAACACCAGUGGCGAAGGCGACAUACUGGAUCAUUACUGACGCUGAGGCUCGAAAGCGUGGGGAGCAAACAGGAUUAGAUACCCCGGUAGUCCCUGUCUCUUAUAC
rnacentral:rRNA from 1 species